UACAGAGGCCCCAAGCAUUACCCGGAAUUACUGGGCGUAAAGGGUGCGUAGGUGGUCGUAUUAGUCGUUUGUGAAAUCUCCCGGCUCAACCGGGAAGACGCGGGCGAAACGGUACGACUUGAGGGCGUGAGAGGUACAUGGAACUCAUGGUGUAGGGGUGAAAUCCGUUGAUAUCAUGGGGAACACCGAAAGCGAAGGCAAUGUACUGGCGCGUUCCUGACACUCAAGCACGAAAGCGUGGGUAGCGAACGGG
rnacentral:rRNA from 1 species